rnacentral:misc_RNA from 1 species
UACGGAGGAUCCAAGCGUUAUCCGGAAUCAUUGGGUUUAAAGGGUCCGUAGGCGGACAAUUAAGUCAGUGGUGAAAGUCUGCAGCUCAACUGUAGAACUGCCAUUGAUACUGUUAACCUUGAGUAAUUAUGAAGUGGUUAGAAUAUGUAGUGUAGCGGUGAAAUGCAUAGAUAUUACAUAGAAUACCGAUUGCGAAGGCAGAUCACUAAUAAUGUACUGACGCUGAUGGACGAAAGCGUAGGUAGCGAACAGG